rnacentral:rRNA from 1 species
ACUCCUACGGGAGGCAGCAGUGGGGAAUCUUGCGCAAUGGGGGAAACCCUGACGCAGCAACGCCGCGUGAGUGAUGAAGGCCCUUGGGUCGUAAAGCUCUGACAGAGGGAAAGAAAUGCAGGGGAGCUAAUAUCUCCCUUGCUUGACGGUACCCUCAAAGGAAGCACCGGCUAACUCCGUGCCAGCAGCCGCGGUAAUACGGGGGGUGCAAGCGUUGUUCGGAUUUAUUGGGCGUAAAGCGCGUGUAGGCGGUUUUAUAAGUCUGAUGUGAAAGCCCUGGGCUCAACCCGGGAAGUGCAUUGGAUACUGUAAGACUUGAAUACGGGAGAGGGCAGUGGAAUUCCUAGUGUAGGAGUGAAAUCCGUAGAUAUUAGGAGGAACACCGGUGGCGAAGGCGGCUGCCUGGACCGAUAUUGACGCUGAGACGCGAAAGCGUGGGUAGCAAACAGGAUUAGAUACCCUGGUAGUCCACGCCGUAAACGAUGAGAACUAGGUGUUGCGGGUA